rnacentral:lncRNA from 1 species
AUAAAUCCAUUCAAUGCAUUAUUACCCUAACAUGCACAAACUCAACAUUCAAGUUAGUACAAUAAUUUCCAUUAACCAAUAAUAUAUACCAUGAUUGAUGAGCUCAUUAAUACCAUGAUUUUCAUUCCCUUGUUAUUUUUCAAUAUUUAUCCUGUUGAAUUUCUCAAAAUUUCAAUGGAUUUUUCAGAGGUACACUUUUAGUGUACAAUUUUAGGGUCUGUCAAUUCAUAUUCAUGUGUGCACAUUUUCAUUUUAGAGAGCACACUCCCGCGAACCUCAUCUUUACAGCGAGAUUACCAGUCCAGGCUAAAUCCCUUAUAAUAUAAACUUAUAGAGUAUUAUCGGGAUUACCAAUCCAGGCUAAAUCCCCUGCAACGACAAUUACUCUAAUGAGUUUGGAUCUGAAUUACCAGUUCAGGCUAAAUUCAGACCCUAAUUUGGAUUACCCGUCCGGACUAAAUCCAUUUUCCACAUUUUUCGGGAGGACUAUAUCAAGAUAGGAUCACCCGUCCGGGCUAGAUCUUUUUUACCGUCAAUUCCUUCUUAGAGAUUCAUCGAAUUUUCAUUCCAUCCAACAGGGAUUUCUUCCGGUUUUUAUCAAAUAUAUCAAUGUUUCAUCAAUUUUCAUACAAUAAACAUUCAAAUCAUAUUC